CCUACGGGUGGCAGCAGUGAGGAAUAUUGGUCAAUGGCCGAGAGGCUGAACCAGCCAAGUCGCGUGAGGGAAGACGGCCCUACGGGUUGUAAACCUCUUUUGUCGGGGAGCAAAGCGCGUCACGUGUGACUCAUUGAGAGUACCCGAAGAAAAAGCAUCGGCUAACUCCGUGCCAGCAGCCGCGGUAAUACGGAGGGUGCACGCGUUACUCGGAAUUAUUGGGGGUAAAGGGCCCGUAGGCGGGAUAGCAAGUGAGCUGUGAAAAUCUAUGGCUUAAACAUAGAACUGCAGUUGAAACUGUUAUUCUUGAGUAAGGGAGAGGUAGGUGGAAUUCGUGGUGUAGGGGUAAAAUCCGUAGAGAUCAAGAAGAA
rnacentral:rRNA from 1 species